rnacentral:rRNA from 1 species
AACGAACGCUGGCGGCAGGCCUAACACAUGAAAGCCGAACGCCCCGGAAGGGGAGUGGCAGACGGGAGAGUAAUGCGUGGGAUUCUAACCAUCUCUACGGAACAACUCCGGGAAACGGGCGCUAAUACCGUAUACGCCAUUAGGGGGAAAGAUUGAACGGGGAUGGAUGAGCCCGCGUUGGAUUAGCUGGUUGGUGGGGUAAAGGCCUACCAAGGCGACGAGCCAUAGCAGGUAUGGGAGGAUGAUCAGCCACAUUGGGACUGAGACACGGCACAGACUCCUACGUCAGGCAGCCGUGGGGAAUAUUGGACAAUGGGCGCAAGCCUGAUCCAGCCAUGCCGCGUGAGUGAUGAAGGCCUUAGGGUUGUAAAGAUCUUUCAGUGGGGACGAUAAUGACGGUAACCACAGAAGAAGCCCCGGCUAACUUCGUGCCAGCCGCCGCUGUAACAC